ACCCUUUAAUGUUUGAUGUUCUAACGUGGACCCGUGAUCCGGGUUGCGGACAGUGUCUGGUGGGUAGUUUGACUGGGGCGGUCUCCUCCUAAAGAGUAACGGAGGAGCACGAAGGUUGGCUAAUCCUGGUCGGACAUCAGGAGGUUAGUGCAAUGGCAUAAGCCAGCUUGACUGCGAGCGUGACGGCGCGAGCAGGUGCGAAAGCAGGUCAUAGUGAUCCGGUGGUUCUGAAUGGAAGGGCCAUCGCUCAACGGAUAAAAGGUACUCCGGGGAUAACAGGCUGAUACCGCCCAAGAGUUCAUAUCGACGGCGGUGUUUGGCACCUCGAUGUCGGCUCAUCACAUCCUGGGGCUGAAGUAGGUCCCAAGGGUAUGGCUGUUCGCCAUUUAAAGUGGUACGCGAGCUGGGUUUAGAACGUCGUGAGACAGUUCGGUCCCUAUCUGCCGUGGGCGCUGGAGAACUGAGGGGGGCUGCUCCUAGUACGAGAGGACCGGAGUGGACGCAUCACUGGUGUUCGGGUUGUCAUGCCAAUGGCACUGCCCGGUAGCUAAAUGCGGAAGAGAUAAGUGCUGAAAGCAUCUAAGCACGAAACUUGCCCCGAGAUGAGUUCUCCCUGAGACUUAAAGUCUCCUGAAGGAACGUUGAAGACGACGACGUUGAUAGGCCGGGUGUGUAAGCGCAGCGAUGCGUUGAGCUAACCGGUACUAAUGAACCGUGAGGC
rnacentral:rRNA from 1 species